rnacentral:rRNA from 1 species
UACGUAGGGUGCAAGCGUUGUCCGGAAUUAUUGGGCGUAAAGAGCUCGUAGGCGGUUAGUCGCGUCUGCUGUGAAAACUCGGGGCUUAACUCCGGGCCUGCAGUGGGUACGGGCUGACUAGAGUGCGGUAGGGGAGACUGGAAUUCCUGGUGUAGCGGUGAAAUGCGCAGAUAUCAGGAGGAACACCGGUGGCGAAGGCGGGUCUCUGGGCCGUAGCUGACGCUGAGGAGCGAAAGCGUGGGGAGCGAACAGG